rnacentral:misc_RNA from 1 species
UCUCCGUUGGUGACCCAGCGGAGGGAUCAUUACAGGACUCGCAAGACUCCUACAACCCUGUGAACUUAACUAUAAGCACGUUGCUUCGGCGGGUGUCUCGGAGGGGGUUCUCCCUCCCCGAGACGCUAAACCCGCCGGCAGCCUACUAUACUCUGUCUCUUUGCGUUGGCAUCUCGAGUACAAUCAAACAAGUUAAAACUUUCAACAACGGAUCUCUUGGUUCUG